rnacentral:lncRNA from 1 species
UCAAUCAAAUUGAAGGCCAAAUCGGGCUCGAAUCAAAGGUACGAAUACAUACAAAUGAUCACCAAGUCGAGGGGAUCAAGAGUUUGACUCUUGACAAGCUAGAUGGAGGCUUGGAGAAAGAAGCGGGUCAAACGGAUCGUAUACGCGGAAAAGAGCAUAAUCCGGAUACAAGGAAUAAAUAUCGAUUGAAUGUUGACAUCGCUAUUACUUAGCGGCUACUAAGGCAAGGUAUCGAAACGGGUCAAUAUAUU